UACGUAGGAUCCAAGCGUUGUCCGGAUUUACUGGGUGUAAAGGGUGCGCAGGCGGACUUGUAAGUCAGGGGUGAAAUCUCACAGCUUAACUGUGAAACUGCCUUUGAUACUGCAAGUCUUGGAUCCAGAAGAGAGUUGUGGAAUUCCGAGUGUAGCAGUGAAAUGCGUAGAUAUUCGGAAGAACACCAGUGGCGAAGGCAGCAACUUGGUCUGGUAUCGACGCUCAGGCACGAAAGCAUGGGGAUCAAACAGG
rnacentral:rRNA from 1 species